CGUGCCUAACACAUGCAAGUCGACGGAAGGCUCCGGCCUUGUACCGUGGCGCACGGGUGAGUAACACGUGGGUAAUCUACCUUCGAAUGGGGAUAACCAACCGAAAGGUUGGCUAAUACCGCAUAAGACCACGGUUUCGAAAGAGACAGGGGUCAAAGGCCUGAGGGCCGUUUGAAGAUGAGCCUGCGUCCCAUCAGCUAGUUGGCAGGGUAAAGGCUCACCAAGGCGACGAUCUGUAGCGGGUCUGAGAGGAUGAUCCGCCACACUGGGACUGAGACACGGCCCAGACUCCUACGGGAGGCAGCAGUGGGGAAUUUUGGACAAUGGGGGCAACCCUGAUCCAGCCAUGCCGCGUGAGUGAAGAAGGCCUUCGGGUUGUAAAGCUCUUUCAGCCGGGAAGAAAGCGCACUCUCUAACAUAGGGUGUGGAUGACGGUACCGGAAGAAGAAGCACCGGCUAACUACGUGCCAGCAGCCGCGGUAAUACGUAGGGUGCGAGCGUUAAUCGGAAUUACUGGGCGUAAAGGGUGCGCAGG
rnacentral:rRNA from 1 species